rnacentral:pre_miRNA from 1 species
GCAGUACUCCCUCCGUCCGAAAAAGCUUGCCCCUCAAAUGAAUGUAUCUAGCACCAAGUUAGUGCUAGAUACAUCCAUUUGAGGGACAAGCUUGGGACAAGCUUUUUUGGACGGAGGGAGUAUGUU